rnacentral:rRNA from 1 species
UGGGGAAUAUUGGACAAUGGGCGGAAGCCUGAUCCAGCCAUGCCGCGUGUGUGAAGAAGGCCUUUUGGUUGUAAGGCACUUUAAGCGAGGAGGAGGCUACUUGGAUUAAUACUCUAGGAUAGUGGACGUUACUCGCAGAAUAAGCACCGGCUAACUCUGUGCCAGCAGCCGCGGUAAUACAGAGGGUGCGAGCGUUAAUCGGAUUUACUGGGCGUAAAGCGUGCGUAGGCGGCUUCUUAAGUCGGAUGUGAAAUCCCUGAGCUUAACUUAGGAAUUGCAUUCGAUACUGGGAAGCUAGAGUAUGGGAGAGGAUGGUAGAAUUCCAGGUGUAGCGGUGAAAUGCGUAGAGAUCUGGAGGAAUACCGAUGGCGAAGGCAGCCAUCUGGCCUAAUACUGACGCUGAGGUACGAAAGCAUGGGGAGCAAACAGG